rnacentral:rRNA from 1 species
AUACGAAGGGGGCUAGCGUUGUUCGGAAUUACUGGGCGUAAAGCGCAUGUAGGCGGACAUUUAAGUCAGGGGUGAAAUCCCGGGGCUCAACCUCGGAACUGCCUUUGAUACUGGGUGUCUAGAGUGUGGAAGAGGUAAGUGGAAUUCCGAGUGUAGAGGUGAAAUUCGUAGAUAUUCGGAGGAACACCAGUGGCGAAGGCGGCUUACUGGUCCAUUACUGGGGACGCUGAGGUGCGAAAGCGUGGGGAGC